rnacentral:rRNA from 1 species
GAUGAACGCUGGCGGCGUGCCUAAUACAUGCAAGUCGAGCGAACAGACGAGGAGCUUGCUCCUCUGACGUUAGCGGCGGACGGGUGAGUAACACGUGGAUAACCUACCUAUAAGACUGGGAUAACUUCGGGAAACCGGAGCUAACACCGGAUAAUAUAUUGAACCGCAUGGUUCAAUAGUGAAAGACGGUUUUGCUGUCACUUAUAGAUGGAUCCGCGCCGCAUUAGCUAGUUGGUAAGGUAACGGCUUACCAAGGCAACGAUGCGUAGCCGACCUGGGAGGGUGAGCGGCCAAACUGGAGCUGAGACACGGUCCAGACUCCUACGGGAGGCAGCAGUAGGGAAUCUUCCGCAAUGGGCGAAAGCCUGACGGAACAACGCCGCGUGAGUGAUGAAGGUCUUCGGAUCGUAAAACUCUGUUAUUAGGGAAGAACAAAUGUGUAAGUAACUAUGCACGUCUUGACGGUACCUAAUCAGAAAGCCACGGCUAACUACGUG